UACGUAGGGUCCGAGCGUUAAUCGGAAUUACUGGGCGUAAAGCGUGCGCAGGCGGUCUCGCAAGUCCGAUGUGAAAUCCCCGAGCUUAACUUGGGAACUGCGUUGGAAACUAUGAGGCUAGAGUGCGGCAGAGGGGGGUGGAAUUCCAGGUGUAGCAGUGAAAUGCGUAGAUAUCUGGAGGAACACCGAUGGCGAAGGCAGCCCCCUGGGCCAGCACUGACGCUGAUUCACGAAAGCGUGGGGAGCAAACAGG
rnacentral:rRNA from 1 species